GAUGAACGCUGGCGGCGUGCUUAACACAUGCAAGUCGAACGGAAAGGCCCAAGCUUGCUUGGGUACUCGAGUGGCGAACGGGUGAGUAACACGUGGGUGAUCUGCCCUGCACUUCGGGAUAAGCCUGGGAAACUGGGUCUAAUACCGGAUAGGACGAUGGUUUGGAUGCCAUUGUGGAAAGUUUUUUCGGUGUGGGAUGAGCUCGCGGCCUAUCAGCUUGUUGGUGGGGUAAUGGCCUACCAAGGCGUCGACGGGUAGCCGGCCUGAGAGGGUGUACGGCCACAUUGGGACUGAGAUACGGCCCAGACUCCUACGGGAGGCAGCAAUGGGGAAUAUUGCACAAUGGGCGCAAGCCUGAUGCAGCGACGCCGCGUGGGGGAUGACGGCCUUCGGGUUGUAAACUCCUUUCGCUAGGGACGAAGCGUUUUUGUGACGGUACCUGGAGAAUAAGCACCGGCUAACUACGUG
rnacentral:rRNA from 1 species